rnacentral:rRNA from 1 species
UGAGUAACGCGUAUGCGACCUGCCCGUUGCAGGGGGAUAAUCGGGAGAAAUCCCGUCUAAUACCGCGUAAGUGCCGCGGGGCUGCAUGGCCCUGCGGCCAAAGGGAGCGAUUCCGGCAACGGAUGGGCAUGCGUGACAUUAGCUAGUUGGCGGGGCAACGGCCCACCAAGGCGACGAUGUCUAGGGGUUCUGAGAGGAAGGUCCCCCACACUGGUACUGAGACACGGACCAGACUCCUACGGGAGGCAGCAG